GAUCGGCACAUGUUCAACAAAAGCAUUCUGUUAUUAUGGACAAUGUGUGAAUACAAAUGAUCCCAAAGGAUACAGAUGUGAAUGUAAAGAAAAUUGGAUUUUGUUAAAGCGAAACGUCUGUUUUGGGGCAUUUGCAAACCAAUUCGGAACGUUUCAUGUACCAAAUAAUGGAGUUUUGUCCGGAAUAAAAUUGCAACGUGUAGGUGGAAGCGGUGUGACAUGUCUUGCAGGAUUGAAUCUGACCUACUGGGGGUGCGAUGAAUUAACAAAUUAUGACAACAGAGACAGUGUGGGUGUGGCCAUUACCGAUUUUGAUAACAACUUCAUCUACCCCAACCCAAGUUUUCAUAUAAAACACGGUUAUCACUCCAUACCAGGAUACAAUGCAUUUUCUCCUUUCUUGAUAUUCAACUCAUCAAGCCAUGCAGUAUUUAAAGGACAAGAAUUAAGGCUGCACUAUGCUGAAACUUUGUUUGACGCGUAUCUGGACAAUAAUGAUGGUAACUCCUGUGCUGAUGUUUACGCAAAACUAUGUGACUUCAAGUUUUCGUUUUUAUGUUAGAAGAUUGUUUUAGUUGCGUUCUUACUAAAUUGAACAUAUUAGGAAACGUUAGUAA